AACCACCCAUUUGUACCAUGCAAGUUGCACAAUAGCAAAUCCUUCUACAGAAUAUACUUUUUGCCCCGUGAUGCGGUGUUGGAGCUAGUGCAUUACCUCGUCCAUGUGUGUUGUAUUUCCCCUUGUUGUUUCGAUCGUCUCUAAAAAUCGCUUGACUUGACUGAAUAGAACAGUAAAAAUGGAGGUGCCCAGAACUUCUUUUAAGGACAGGGAAGCUUUAUGGUGAGUGUGCUAUCUGGGAAAACUUGGGCGCUCUGGCGACUGUUGCGGCGUCGUGACCCCCCGCCGGGAUUCGCUUGCUGGGCCGGCCGGCCGCCUCUGCCAUGGCCGGCAUCGCUCCCUUCGUUGCUUUGGCUCUCCCUCCCGGCCGCGGGCCAUCCCUCUUCAUCGCGCCAUCGCCAGUGAGGUGGGCGGACCUCGCGAGGAGGAUGAGGAGGAGGGGGCAUGGUGGAGCGCCCGGUGUGGAAGGCGCCACCGCUUUUCAACGAGUUCUUGGCGGCGGCCCGUGUUGUCCCUCGCCACGGGCGGCCUGGCGCUCGUCGCCGCGGUCCUGGCCGGCCACCGGCUGCGCGGCGCGGUCGUCCUUCCCCGCAUCUCCCCUUCGUGUCCGGGGCGGCGCGACCUUGCUCCCCGGUGGUGGAUGGCUCGGUGCCCUCCCCUGCCCUGGCCUAGGCUGCGGCUGAGCAUCUAGGCUUGGAUGUGGCCGGGGGAGCGGCGGCGUCGGCGCUGCCGCCGCCACCGACGUCCCAGGCCGAUGUCGUCCCGUGGUCGGGUCCUGCUAGGGCUGCAGGGCUGCGUGGGCCGCCUAGGGCCUGUGUGGCCGCUGGCCCAGGUGGGGCUUGGGCCGGCCUGCUUGGACGUGGCGUGGCUGGGCAUGGGAGGGGUGGGAUGUCGGCCCAGGCGGUGCGUGAUGCAGGCCGCCGGGCCCAGGCCUUGCUAGACCGGGCCAAUCGCGCCUGGCUGCUGGCCCUGGCUGAUCCCGCCCGUUGGAUCUGGAUCCAACAGGGCGGAUCCGAUCCGCGGGUGGGGCAGAUGUGCAGCGCUUCGGGCGCUCUUCCCGUUACUGUCGUUCUCGCGUCCCCCCCCCCCCCCCCCCCCCCCCCCCCCCGCGCUGUCUGCGCCCCUUCCCUAGAUUCGUCUACGCUGCCGGCCGCCCUCCCCUCCUCUCCCCCUUCGCCGGCGGCUCCUGGUCUUACCUCGACGUCCUCAUGACCCGUGAGGUGGUGGAUGGGCAGCCGCGCCCCAAACGCCCCCUGGAUUCCUCUUUCGCGCAGAGUGAGGCGGGCCUGAGCCGGUCUGGCCAGGUGUUGACCUACGCCAGAACCUUUCUCCGGCGGCCCCCUCCGCCGCGUGACCCGUCCCGGGACCCCCGCCUGCCCCUCCCGGGCUCUCCUGGUGACGUUCGUCGCUAGGAGGCCGAGCACCGCCGGACUGACGAGCUGGCCAGGAAGGCCUCCCUCCGGUCGAAGCUGGUUUCCCGGCCCCUGCCCGUGGCUCACCAGCAGGAGGGGUCCCUCGCCCGGCCGGCCACUGCUCUACAGGAGGCGCCACGCGCGUCCGACGGGGACUGGCGCCGCCGCAAUUCGGAACGUGGUGAGGCGUCUGGCUCCCGGGGUGCCUCCUCCGCACGGGGUGAGCGUCGUGCGGACGAGCCCCGCCGUGCGAGGUCUCCUGCUCUCAGCCGUCGGGAGGACCAGCGUACGUCCCGUGAUGAUGGUACCAUGGGGCGUCGGGCGGAUGCCCGCUUUGAGUGGUCGGCCUCCCCGCGGCGGCCCCUUGACGCUCCUGGUGCGGUUGCGCCCGUUCCUCGCCGCGUCCACUCCCUCCUUGCCCCUACAACCUACGCAGUAGAGCCGGUAGGAACCCUAGUCCUACCACCAUGAAUCAGCUGUUUUCGAAUUCGGAAACAGUUGAAUUCCUGGCAAACCAUUUCACCACACGUGUUCAGUUUGUCAUUUUGAGUCCAUGCCCCCUGCUUACACAGCGGCGAGGCCAACCAGGGCGCAUACAGGGGCGGAGUCAGCAGCUUGGUAGUGCAUCCAUUUACGUGUGGCGGCCUGCGGAUUUGGGUGCAUGACAGCCGGCCAACAUGUUGUGUGGGCGUGAUGUUGUCGGCAUGUUGUACAUGAGUGUUGGCUGCCAGAGGCGCGCGUGCCUGACCGAUAUGUGUGUGGUGUGUGAGGAUAGCUUUAUUCAUAUUCUUCCAAUUUUGAGAGAGGAAGAGAACUCAGUAGUGCUGCCAAUUUUGGCACGCAAUGUUCGUUUUUCAGAUUCACCAUAAUUGGUAAUGUUGUUUAGUACUUUAACUUUGUCAUGGUUCAAUAAAUAGGCAGUUAAUUUUUGUUGUUCGAAAGGAAAAGCAGUGCUACAAUAGCACGGUUGAUUUUGGUUGCUAGAAGGAAAAGCAGUGCUACAAAUUUUAAAUGUAGGAUGUUGUUUUUCACAGUUCGGUCAAGUAUUGCUUAUUUGCGUUGUACGAUCACAACUCUAAGCUUAAUCUUCUUUUAGUUGUGUAGCAUUGUAGACCUGGGUCCUUUAUUCCUAGCAGAUCAACACGUUUGGUCAAAUUUAGCUUAUUUGAUAAUGUGCAAACAAUAAAUGGUGUGAAUAUAUGCGAAGUUCGAUGGAAAACAUUGAAGUGUAUGAUGCUCCAGGCUCGACGACAAGUGUUAUCGUCAUGAGGCCAGACGACUUGUUGUGCCAAUCCGGUGAGAGCAUCCAAUAGCGGAAAGUCAUCCGAAGAAUCAUGUCCAGUGAGUAGUCCAGCUCCAGCAACAAGACCACAUCUGGUUUCCACCAACAAGCUGGACCAGCGGCAUUGUACUCGGAAAAGCAAAAGAAAAACAAUUGGCAAUCUAUUGUAUGAAAAACUACUCUUCCAUCAGAUGAAGAAUGGUAUGUUGGCUUCUUCACGUCCGAACUUCAUGCUACAAAAAGCACUAUCAGUUUAACCUUAUUAUUGAUGUUUAUUGAAAUUAGAUAUAAAAAAUGGUUGCGUAAUGGCACAUGAAGCAGGUUGUGCCUCUUUUUUGCCCGGUGCAACGCAUGGGCAUUUGUACUAGUAGUCACUUAUAACUCUUGCCCAGCUAGGCUAUAUGUACUGCAGGAAUAGUCCACAAACUAUUUCGGUCAUUGCUAGAGAUUUUUGUUC